CCUACGGGAGGCAGCAGUGGGGAAUAUUGGGCAAUGGAGGCAACUCUGACCCAGCAACGCCGCGUGAAUGAUGAAGGUCUUCGGAUUGUAAAGUUCUGUGAUGGGGGAUGAACACAAUGACGGUACCCCAAUAGCAAGCCACGGCUAACUACGUGCCAGCAGACGCGGUAAUACGUAGGUGGCAAGCGUUAUCCGGAAUGACUGGGCGUAAAGGGGGCGUAGGUGGUUUAGUAAGUUGGCGGGGUAAUUCCGGGGCUCAACCUCGGCGCUACCGCCAAAACUAUUAGACUAGAGUGCAGGAGGGGUAAGUGGAAUUCCCAGUGUAGCGGUGGAAUGCGUAGAUAUUAGGAGGAACAUCAGGGGCGAAGGCGACUUACUGGACUGUAACUGACACUGAGGCACGAAAGCGUGGGGAGCAAACAGGAUUAGAUACCCGAGUAGUC
rnacentral:rRNA from 1 species